UUGACCUCAAAUCAGGUAGGAACUA
rnacentral:rRNA from 1 species